rnacentral:rRNA from 1 species
CGAGAAGACCCUGUGGAGCUUCAAACACUUGAACUAAUUAUGUAAUCUUUUCCAUCUAAGGGUAUAAACAAAAAUAUAAUACUUCUAGUUCAACUGUUUUUGGUUGGGGCGACCUAGG